GAUGAAGAACGUAGCGAAGUGCGAUAAGCAAUGCGAAUUGCAGAACCGUGAGUCAUCAGAUUUUUGAACGCAACUGGCGCCGAUUGGCUAUCCAGUCGGCAUGCUUGUUUCAGUGUCUUGUUUUCUCAUCACCCAAAUCUUAAUGCGAGAGAUACCCUUCUCUUGCUAAGUACGAAAGCACUCUGAGCCCUGCAAGUGACUUGGCUUCGGUCAAGGUCACACUCAAUGCAGCAGUCACAUUGCUCAUAAUGUGAACUCAUUGAGAGCGGAGUCAGCGCAGCUUGUCUGCAAGUGCUUAGAGCCUUAAACUCUACAUGUAUCUGAAAUCAAGCAGGACUACCCGCUGAACUUAAGCAUAUCAAUAAGCGGAGGA
rnacentral:misc_RNA from 1 species